UACGUAGGGGGCUAGCGUUGUCCGGAAUCAUUGGGCGUAAAGAGCGUGUAGGCGGCCCGGUAAGUCCGCUGUGAAAGUCGGGGGCUCAACCCUCGAAUGCCGGUGGAUACUGUCGGGCUAGAGUGCGGAAGAGGCGAGUGGAAUUCCUGGUGUAGCGGUGAAAUGCGCAGAUAUCAGGAGGAACACCGAUUGCGAAGGCAGCUCGCUGGGACGUUACUGACGCUGAGACGCGAAAGCAUGGGGAGCGAACAGG
rnacentral:rRNA from 1 species